CAAAUAAACUAUUAAAAACGGAUCGUAUAUCCCCCAAUCACAUAAUCGUUAUAUACGAGUAAUUUACGGAUACGAAAUGAGAAUAAAAAGUAAACGAAUUAAAUUAGAAAAAAACAACAGUGUUUGUCUACGAUGAUUUGCUCGCAUAAUUAUUUUCCAUGUUCAGAGAACCGUAAAUAAUUUUAAAAAGAACAUAUUUUAAUAAACAUGUGUACCUAGUUUCAACUUGAUCUGACUACAAUGUCGUCUUAGAUUCAAUCUAAAUCAAUGGAUACACGGAAAAACGAACGAACGAACAAACCUACACAUCAGAUAACAUUAGGCAGCAACAAUUUGAUUUUCUGGGGGGGGGGGGGGGGGGUGGCUAUGGAUUUUUUUGGGAAAAAAGUUUGUUUCCAGUUUUGGGAGAAAAAAAUAAUUUGUUUCUGAUCCUGAGAAAAAAAAAUUGUUUGUUUCACCCUCAGCUGCCACUAUAUGUAAUGCUAAAAUUGAAAGAAAAAAAUUGUUUUCGACUUCUCGCAAAAAAAA
rnacentral:lncRNA from 1 species